AAAGGAUGAGUGUAGCUAUGAUGUUGAUUCUCUUUUAAAAAGUUUGACUUAAGAAAACUCGUCGCAAAACUGCCAAUUUACCGUUUUACGUUCAGCGCUACAUUAACGAAGUAACCAUGUUCUCUGCUCAAGAAAAAAUCGAUUGACGGAGGUCAGUAUAUAUAGCAUAUCAGUCGCGUACGUACUUUCUACAAUACAAGGAAGAAGAAACCGUCGGCAAAGGCUUCUUUAAUAAAUAAAGUAUCCACAUUGCACAAUUUUUAGGUCGAGGACUCCUUCGUUCAGGUUUGCCAAAAUUUGAUUUUGUUUUCAUGUUUACAUUGCUUCGAAGAUAAGACAUGACUUUCAA